CUCUAACGUAAUAGUUAACACGCCAAGAGACGUCAACCUAGCCUUCACAGAAUACUAUCACAGACUAUACGACCAUACCCCGCGGGACGAACUAGCACAUGCCCAACUUCUGACACAUAUCAAAGACUUUCUGAUCCACACAGACCUAUCUAGGAUAACACCAGAAGAGGCAGAAGCUCUACAGGAGCCCAUAACACAAGAAGAAGUGGCGGCGGCAAUUACCACGCUACAAGGCACCCGGACCCGACGGCUAUGACAUGUCCUAUUACAAAAAAUGCAAAGACGAAUUAGUAUCCCCC